GUCCAGUUGGUCUAGUGGAUAAGGCUAUGGAUUGGCAAUCCAGAGACGGCGGGCUCGAUUCCCGUUCCGGUCG
rnacentral:tRNA from 1 species